AACGAACGCUUGCGGCGUGCUUAACACAUGCAAGUCGAACGCGAAAGGGACUUCGGUCCUGAGUAAAGUGGCGCACGGGUGAGUAACGCGUAGGUAAUCUACCCCUGUGUUCGGGACAACAUCGGGAAACUGGUGCUAAUACCGGAUACGUUUCACGGAUUGCGAGAUAAGUGAAGGAAAGAUGGCGACCCUUCGGGGGCGAUUGCACGGGGAUGAGCCUGCGUACCAUUAGCUAGUUGGUGGGGUAAGAGCCUACCAAGGCGACGAUGGUUAGCGGGUCUGAGAGGAUGAUCCGCCACACUGGAACUGGAACACGGUCCAGACUCCUACGGGAGGCAGCAGUGAGGAAUUUUGCACAAUGGGGGAAACCCUGAUGCAGCGACGCCGCGUGAGUGACGAAGGUCUUCGGAUCGUAAAGCUCUGUCAGCAGGGAAGAAACGUUUGGUGGCUAAUAUCCAUUGAAUUUGACGGUACCUGCAAAGGAAGCACCGGCUAACUCUGUGCCAGCCGCCGCCGUAAAAC
rnacentral:rRNA from 1 species